UGAAAACGGCCAUUUCUAAAAUGGUUCUGUCUUUUUAACACAACUUUUUUCACCAAUCCUUUUGCUUACCCACCCACCUAUAGCCCUUGCCGCCGCCGUCGCCGUGCUGAAGCCGAUGGCCGGCGCGCCGCGCCCCAGGGGGUCCUCCGGCCUCGCCGUCGCCGCCGCCGCUGCGACUUCCUCGGGGUCCUCGCCGUGUCCUACCUGCCAAGUGCCAUAGCACCUGGACGCCGACCUUUCCUGAUUGCCCAAGGGCCUCCUCCCCGAUCUCCUGUUUCCAAUUGAUAAAAGAUUUAUUCCCUCGCGUCCUCUCUCAGGAUGCGUGCAGGUGUGGCAUGUGAAGGGUGCAACGACACAAUGCUAGACAGUAGACAGACGCCAUAUUGAUCGCUGGCAUUGAGAUGGCUGGGCGUUUACGGCAGCAUCCAAUCAUCCAUCAGGAGCGGGUUAUAGCAGAGUUGGCUAGCCACAGUCAAGGAUCAUCGUAUCUAGGGACAGAAGGGGUCUUUUCUUUACAUUUUCAUCCAAAACUCAAAUAUCCCACUGUACAGCAAAAAAUCCAGGUUCGCCAAGUAUUUCAUCUCUCAUGUUAACUAGAUGGAUCCAUCGACUCCCCUUGCUAAUGUUACUAACCAAACGAAAACAGAAAAACAUGGACGAUCCAAUACUUAUCAAAUUGGUGAAGAGAAUAUUGAUCCUAUUGAACAACCGCGUCAGAUGAGGCGUCAGAAAUAUGCCAGUUUACCUGAGGAGGAGAAGGAGAGGAGGCGUGCAAUGGCAAGAGAGAAUUAUAAACGUUGGAAAGGUAAAACACAAAAUUUAGACUUUGACAUUCAGAAUUAUAAUCGUGUCAAAUUAGAUACAUUUAUGAAAAUGGAUGUGGAGCGUGAACGUUGCUUAAGCCCCAACGCCUGCUUCCGUUGUCAUAACAACUGAAGCAACACUUGCUCAAACUGAUAAUCAUCCUAGAGAUAGUUUGCCAUGUGGUAAUACUAUUUUUAAGGCCUGAAUAUCUGUAGUAGUGUAUUUUUAUAUUUUACUCAGAGUAUAUAUAUCUGUCUCCAGUGAUACCAGCUUCUGUUCAUGAUGAAAACAUGAUGUCCAGUA